CCUACGGGAGGCUGCAGUCGAGAAUCUUCCGCAAUGGACGAAAGUCUGACGGAGCGACGCCGCGUGAUUGAUGAAGUCCCUUAGGGACGUAAAGAUCUUUUAUGAGGGAGGAAGUUUAUUGACGUUACCUCAUGAAUAAGAGGCUCCUAAUCUCGUGCCAGCAGGAGCGGUAAUACGAGAGCCUCGAGCGUUAUCCGGAAUUAUUGGGCGUAAAGGGUGCGUAGGUUGUUUUGUUAGUCUUUUGUUAAAGGCCCGGGCUUAACUUGGGAAAGGCAAAAGAAACGGCAGAACUUGAAAGUGCGAGAGGCGUACGGAACUCAUGGUGUAGGGGUGAAAUCCGUUGAUAUCAUGGGGAACACCAAAAGCGAAGGCAGUACGCUGGCGCAUAUUUGACACUGAAGCACGAAAGCGUGGGUAGCGAAUGGGAUUAGAUACCCCGGUAGUC
rnacentral:rRNA from 1 species